CCUACGGGUGGCAGCAGUGAGGAAUAUUGGUCAAUGGGCGCGAGCCUGAACCAGCCAAGUCGCGUGAGGGAAGACGGUCCUAUGGAUUGUAAACCUCUUUUGUCGGGGAGCAAAAGACGCCACGCGUGGCGUUCCGAGAGUACCCGAAGAACAAGCAUCGGCUAACUCCGUGCCAGUAGCCGCGGUAAUACGGAGGAUGCGAGCGUUAUCCGGAUUUAUUGGGUUUAAAGGGUGCGCAGGUGGAAGAUCAAGUCAGCGGUAAAAUUGAGAGGCUCAACCUCUUCGAGCCGUUGAAACUGGUGUUCUUGAGUGAGUGAGAAGUAUGCGGAAUGCGUGGUGUAGCGGUGAAAUGCAUAGAUAUCACGCAGAACUCCGAUUGCGAAGGCAGCAUACCGGCGCUCAACUGACGCUCAUGCACGAAAGUGUGGGUAUCGAACAGGAUUAGAUACCCUAGUAGUC
rnacentral:rRNA from 1 species